rnacentral:rRNA from 1 species
UACGUAGGGAGCGAGCGUUGUCCGAAGUUACUGGGCGUAAAGCGCGCGUAGGCGGGCUGUUAAGUGAGAGGUGAAAGGCUGGGGCUUAACCCCAUGCAGUGCCUCUCAUACUGGCGGUCUUGAGUGCGGCAGGGAGAAGUGGAAUGGCUGGUGUAGCGGUGAAAUGCGUAGAUAUGCGGAGGAACACCGAUGGCGAAGGCAAUCCCCUGGGCCUGCACUGACGCUCAUGCACGAAAGCGUGGGGAGCAAACAGG